ACGGGAUGGUAGGCAGGGUCAGGCAGGGGUCGGUAAUCCAGAGUAGUGGGGCAAAGGUACGGGACGGUAGGCAGGCCCAGGGUCAGGCAGGGGUCGGUAAUCCAGAGUAGUGGGGCAAAGGUACGGGACGGUAGGCAGGCCCAGGGUCAGGCAGGGGUCGGUAAUCCAGAGUAGUGGGGCAUAGGGACGGUAGGCAGGCCCAGGGUCAGGCAGGGGUCGGUAAUCCAGAGUAGUGGGGCAAAGGUACGGGACGGUAGGCAGGCCCAGGGUCAGGCAGGGGUCGGUAAUCCAGAGUAGUGGGGCAAAGGUACGGGACGGUAGGCAGGCCCAGGGUCAGGCAGGGGUCGGUAAUCCAGAGUAGUGGGGCAAAGGUACGGGACGGUAGGCAGGCCCAGGGUCAGGCAGGGGUCGGUAAUCCAGAGUAGUGGGGCAAGGGGGAAAACGGUGGUAGGUAUGAAUGAACAAAACGAACUGGCAACAGACGGAGAACACAGGUAUAAAUACACAGGGGAUAAUGGGGAAGAUGGGUGACACCUGGAGGGGGGUGGAGACAAUCACAAAGACAGGUGAAACAGAUCAGGGUGUGACAUUAAAGUAAUGAUGGACUGUCGUUUCUCUUUGCUUAUUUGAGCUGUUCUUGCCAUAAUAUGUUCUUGGUCUUUUACCAAAUAGGGCUAUCUUCUGUAUACCACCCCUACCUUGUCACAACACAACUGAUUGUCUCAAACGCAUUAAGAAGGAAAGAAAUUCCACACAUUUACUUUUAACAAGGCACACCUGCUAAUUGAAAUGCAUUCCAGGUGACUACCUCAUCAAGCUGGUUGAGGGAAUGCCAAGAGUGAGCAAAGCUGUCAAGGCAAAAGGUGGCUACUUUGAAUAAUAUAAAAUAUAAAAUAUAUUUAGAUUUUUUUUAAACACUUUUUUGGUUACUACAUGAUUCCAUAAUGUGUUAUUUCCUCGUUUUGAUGUCUUCACAAAUAUU
ensembl:lncRNA